GGCGUCGGUAGCGAUUUGGUUCAACCACACGACUUUUAUCCAGAAUCUGACCCAGAGGGAGAGGCUGCUGAAGAAGUUCAAACUCUACAACUGCAGCAGGACGUUUCUGAAUGGUGCUCCUGUGGAAACUGUGCAACCAUGCCCACAGAAGCUGAGAACAUCUGCUGCUAGGAGAUACCACAGGUUACCAGACGGCUAUGGGAUAUCGAGGAAGAUUUACCAUGUAUGGUAGACCGUCCUGGGUUGGAGCCGCUCUGCCUCAAUGUGUACUCCCUCCAGAAUGCCUGCAACAUGUACC